rnacentral:misc_RNA from 1 species
UCACCCCUCAAGCCCCGUGCUUGGUGUUGGACGGGUUGGUCGGGGCUUCCCUCGACCCCUCCUAAAGACAAUGACGGCGGCCUGUGGUUCCCCCGGUACACUGAGCUUCUUAACCGAGCACGUACCGGACGAGGGCGCCCGGGCCACGGUCCUCUCCUUUCAGUGGGAAAGUUUUCUAA